rnacentral:rRNA from 1 species
GUGCGGGGGUAUACUUCUUCGGAAGUAGAGACCGGCGCACGGGUGCGUAACGCGUAUGCAAUCUACCUUUUACAGAGGGAUAGCCCAGAGAAAUUUGGAUUAAUACCUCAUAGUAUAUAGACUCGGCAUCGAGAUUAUAUUAAAGUCACAACGGUAAAAGAUGAGCAUGCGUCCCAUUAGCUAGUUGGUAAGGUAACGGCUUACCAAGGCUACGAUGGGUAGGGGUCCUGAGAGGGAGAUCCCCCACACUGGUACUGAGACACGGACCAGACUCCUACGGGAGGCAGCAGUGAGGAAUAUUGGACAAUGGGCGCAAGCCUGAUCCAGCCAUGCCGCGUGCAGGAUGACGGUCCUAUGGAUUGUAAACUGCUUUUAUACGAGAAGAAACACUGCUACGUGUAGCAGCUUGACGGUAUCGUAAGAAUAAGGAUCGGCUAACUCCGUGCCAGCAGCCGCGGUAAUACGGAGGAUCCAAGCGUUAUCCGGAAUCAUUGGGUUUAAAGGGUCCGUAGGCGGUUUAAUAAGUCAGUGGUGAAAGCCCAUCGCUCAACGGUGGAACGGCCAUUGAUACUGUUAGACUUGAAUUAUUAGGAAGUAACUAGAAUAUGUAGUGUAGCGGUGAAAUGCUUAGAGAUUACAUGGAAUACCAAUUGCGAAGGCAGGUUACUACUAAUUGAUUGACGCUGAUGGACGAAAGCGUGGGUAGCGAACAGGAUUAGAUACCCUGGUAGUCCACGCCGUAAACGAUGGAUACUAGCUGUUGGAAGCAAUUUCAGUGGCUAAGCGAAAGUGAUAAGUAUCCCACCUGGGGAGUACGUUCGCAAGAAUGAAACUCAAAGGAAUUGACGGGGGCCCGCACAAGCGGUGGAGCAUGUGGUUUAAUUCGAUGAUACGCGAGGAACCUUACCAAGGCUUAAAUGUAGAUUGACCGGUUUGGAAACAGAUCUUUCGCAAGACAAUUUACAAGGUGCUGCAUGGUUGUCGUCAGCUCGUGCCGUGAGGUGUCAGGUUAAGUCCUAUAACGAGCGCAACCCCUGUUGUUAGUUGCCAGCGAGUCAWGUCGGGAACUCUAACAAGACUGCCAGUGCAAACUGUGAGGAAGGUGGGGAUGACGUCAAAUCAUCACGGCCCUUACGCCUUGGGCUACACACGUGCUACAAUGGCCGGUACAGAGAGCAGCCACUGGGCGACCAGGAGCGAAUCUAUAAAACCGGUCACAGUUCGGAUCGGAGUCUGCAACUCGACUCCGUGAAGCUGGAAUCGC